rnacentral:rRNA from 1 species
CAGUAGCCGCGGGAAUACGAAGGGGGCUAGCGUUGCUCGGAAUGACUGGGCGUAAAGGGCGCGUAGGCGGCGAUCAAAGUCAGGCGUGAAAUUCCUGGGCUCAACCUGGGGGCUGCGCUUGAUACUUGGUUGCUUGAGUGGGGAAGAGGGUCGUGGAAUUCCCAGUGUAGAGGUGAAAUUCGUAGAUAUUGGGAAGAACACCGGUGGCGGAGGCGGCAACCUGGUCCUUGACUGACGCUGAGGCGCGAAAGCGUGGGGAGCAAACAGGAUUAGAUACCCCCGUAGUCCCUGUCUCUUAUAC